UCUGCCCGCGGUGUCUCAGAUUCAUUCUUAAGGAACUGAGAACUUAAUCUUCCAAAAUGUCAAAAACACCAUCUUAUGCCCCACCUCCCACCCCAGCUCCUGCAACACAAAUGCCCAGCACACCAGGGUUUGUGGGAUACAAUCCAUACAGUCAUCUCGCCUACAACAACUACAGGCUGGGAGGGAACCCGGGCACCAACAGCCGGGUCACGGCAUCCUCUGGUAUUACGAUUCCAAAACCCCCAAAGCCACCAGAUAAGCCGCUGAUGCCCUACAUGAGGUACAGCAGAAAGGUCUGGGACCAAGUAAAAGCUUCCAACCCUGACCUAAAGUUGUGGGAGAUUGGCAAGAUUAUUGGUGGCAUGUGGCGAGAUCUCACUGAUGAAGAAAAACAAGAAUAUUUAAAUGAAUACGAAGCAGAAAAGAUAGAGUACAAUGAAUCUAUGAAGGCCUAUCAUAAUUCCCCCGCAUACCUUGCUUACAUAAAUGCAAAAAGUCGUGCAGAAGCUGCUUUAGAGGAAGAAAGUCGACAGAGACAGUCUCGCAUGGAGAAAGGAGAACCGUACAUGAGCAUUCAGCCUGCUGAAGAUCCAGACGAUUAUGAUGAUGGCUUUUCAAUGAAGCAUACAGCCACUGCCCGUUUCCAGAGAAACCACCGCCUCAUCAGUGAAAUCCUUAGUGAGAGUGUGGUGCCAGACGUCCGUUCAGUUGUCACAACAGCUAGAAUGCAGGUCCUCAAACAACAGGUCCAGUCCUUAAUGGUUCAUCAGCGAAAACUAGAAGCUGAACUUCUUCAAAUAGAGGAGCGACACCAGGAAAAGAAGAGGAAAUUCCUGGAAAGCACAGAUUCAUUUAACAAUGAACUUAAAAGGUUGUGCGGUUUGAAAGUAGAAGUGGAUAUGGAAAAAAUUGCCGCUGAAAUUGCACAGGCAGAGGAACAGGCUCGAAAAAGGCAGGAGGAAAGAGAGAAAGAAGCCGCAGAGCAAGCCGAACGCAGUCAGAGCAGCAUGGUUCUUGAGGAAGAGCAAGCUGCUGGUAAGAGCGAGGAGAAGAAGGACGAGAGCCUCCCGAUGGAGACAGAGGAGACACACCUUGAAGAAGCGACGGAAAGCCAACAGAAUGGUGAAGAAGGCACGUCUACUCCUGAGGACAAGGAGAGCAGGCAGGAGGGGGUGGACAGUAUGGCUGAGGAGGGGACCAGUGACAGUAACACCGGCUCCGAGAGCAACAGUGCCGCAGUGGAGGAGCCACCCACAGACCCCACACCGGAAGACGAGAAGAAAGAAUAAAUGUUGCCUUGUCUUAUGUGUUCUAAAUACUUUUUUAAAUGAAAAAAAAUGUUUUUUGAGUUUUAAUGGUGUUAUGUGGUUUGUGUAUUAAUAUCUUUCUUGUCCAUAUCGCACCACCAAAGGCUUUUGGACCAUUUAGCAUCACAAGCCAAAUGGCACCGUCCCCUUUCUUAAGCCUUUGUGAAGAUGUUCUUUUCUUUGGAUCUUAUUCCUAGCCCUCAACUCCUGAAAGCCUCAGAAUUUAAAUUAAUCGAGAAAACGCCCACCUCUUUUAGAGAGUUAUCCUUUGAUGCUGCACAAUUUACUCUUACAAAUGCCUUCCUACAGCUCACUGGGGUGCUUACCAAAGCCAUAGCUUUAAACCUCCCAGUCCCUAUCAACAGCUUCCCGAAAGUCCCCUUUCCUGUAUACUUCCACAAAGAGUAGUUUCUUGAAAACGUAAUCAUGUGUGAGUAUGUAUUUGUUCAUUUACCCUUUUUUAUUUUUAAUCAGUGUCGGAUACCAAGAGUUGUGUUAAGGAUUGACUACAACUAAGCUUGGAUCGUAUUGAUCCAGAAAUAGUCUCCAUUGUUCAAGUAGUUACCAGCUUAUGAAGUAGGCAUUAAAAUGAACAUGGCACAUACACAUUAUGUAUACUGCUUUUUGUUGUAAUUCAUAUUGGGUGUGUUCUGAUAAAUUCAUCCUUACUGUACAGAAAAAGAAAGUUACUUUUUUACCAAGUUUUCCAAAGACAGAAUAGGUCACAAAGCUUAAGGAAUUGAAUAUUCUUGCAGUGGACUAGACAACUUCAAAACGAUGAGCCCAUUCCGGGAGGAAAACAGCUGGGAAUUCGUUUCGUCCAUGUGAAAUUUUCUUCAAUAAUCAAAACUCAAAACCUCAAGGCUCAGGAUCCCAUAGGUCAGAGCCUACCUUUUUGAUAAACUCUUAGUAAAGUCUUGGAGACUAGAAGCAAGAUAGUUUGUGACACGUGUGCUUCCCAAAAACUAGAAUAGAUUUUUAUUAAAUAGUGGUAUAUCUGAUGGUAUAUGUUUCUUAAAGGUCCAAAUGUAAUAAAUAAGUGGAAAAAA